GGCGUGUAUAAAACCACAGUUGCCUGGAGCAUCUCCACACUUGCUCGCAGUGGGCAACCAGCAGGCACCUCUUUCUACAUGAUUCCAAGGUAGUGCUUGUUGACUUUUUCAAAUCGGGUUCCUCACAAUAAGAAGACACUGAAGCCCACAAGGACAGAGAUAAAUACAAAAAGAAAGAUAGGAGAAGCCCUAUGAUGUUUGAGUUAUUUUACAAUAACCCAAGAACAGUGUUAUACACAAAAAGGAGGAGAGAAGGUGUAUUGGCAAAGGAUGGUGCUGAAGCAUGAAGCUGCUGCUGCAGCCUUGAAGCUGGAAGGCUCGCCCUGAAGUUAGACGGAUUGGGGUACCCAACCUCUGCCAAACCCACCUCUGUGUUCCUGUCUGCCUGGGAAAAAGAAAAGACACUCUCGAUCCGUCACCUGAAGUAGCCACAAUUAGGAAAGU
rnacentral:lncRNA from 1 species